rnacentral:misc_RNA from 1 species
CCGUAACGGUGUGUAGAGAAGCUGGCGCCUCUCUCUUUUCCCCUCCGUGCUGCCAACGCACUCACACGGCUGCGACACGCACACACGCACAGAACAAGGACCUCUCUUUCCCCCUCCGCAGGGCGCGCUCAAUUUUGUUUUUGUGCGUGUCCUGCUGAUCUCACUCCAACAGCACCGUGCGCGCACCUCACUCGUGGCUCGUGGCCCCGCGUGUGCUAUUGAGUGACGUCUAGACGCAACGAACGAAGGGCACGUGUGCUGCUGCCCUUCGCUCCACGCGUCCAGGCGUGCGCCGUCUCCCCUUCGCCUCGCAAAGACAGAAAGAGAGAGCGAUCUCUCUUGCGAACGUCGUUGUUGCAGCCGACGGGGCAAACGUGGGCAGAGGCCCCCACCCCCACAUAUCUAUACAUACACCCACACAAACCGACGCACGCACUGAAAGACGAGGAAAUCAUACACAUAUGCAGAGGCCGACACGGACGUCUUCGUUUCUUGCGUUUUCCUUCGCGUGUUGUGUUGCUGUUAGCUCAUUCCUUAGACUGCUAGAUCUACAGAGACUCGCGUAGGUAAGUGUGUGUGUGUGUGCGUGUUUAUCGCUCAAUCCACCCGCGUCACGUCUCUCCGCUUCUGCCCUGAACUCGAGUUACGCAUCAGCACGUACAGAGGCAGGCACACCACCAUCAGGCAAGUCUACUUGACGCCUUAGCGCAUCGGUCUGUGUGUUUCCGUUGGUCGGAUACGCGCAGAAUAUUGCCACCUUAUCGCUGAGGGCAAGCUGUGUACGGCAUCGGGUGCGAACCGAACCGCCAGCCGCAUCCGCGACUCUGUCAAUAUGGACGCCUUCAGCCGCAGCAAGUCCUACAGCCAGGCGGCCUCGACUUCCACCCCACCCCCAUCGCGUUCUGGGGCCGCCGCGCCAGGUUCCACCGCCGCCCAACAGCAGCAACAUGUCUUCAAAAACAUUUUGAAGAGCGUGGAGAGCCACGUGCGGAUCAUGUCCGCGGUGGAGCGGACGGCGACGUCGUCGAGCUACACGUCUUUGCGUGUUCGCCAGCCAGACAGCGACGGCGCAGGUGACAGCGGCACCGCUUCUUCUUCAUCGCAGGGCCCGCAGAGCAGCCAGUCCGCCGGCGGGUGGUCGCAGCCGUUCAACGUCACCCGCGUUCACCGUGGUGGGACGACAGCGCGCUUCUACGAGGAGGUGGUGGCGCCGUGCGUGUCGAACUGCACAUCCGGGCAGAGCUACGUCUUUCUAGUGAACGGGCCGCCUGAGAGCGGUCGUAGCCAGACCCUCUACGGCAGCCCUCACCACAGCGAGCUGGGCAUCGUCGAGCUGGCGGCAUCCGACUUGCUGGAGCGGAUGGCGUCCCGCGGCAAGGUCAUCAUGCGGAACCAUCGUGAUCGCCCGGACGCCACCGGGAAGGAAAACGAAGCAGCCUGCGGCACACAGUCGUCGACCACCGCCAACAGCGGGCGGGAGGAUGUGUCGGAGGUGGCCACGACCGGUGGCAUCACCGUGACCUACGCCGCCUUCACCACCCGCGGUGGCAAGAUGCUUGAGACGGAAACGGGCGAGCCUGUCCCGCUCGUCGAGUUCCCGCCGCCCCUGGGGCUGGUGCCGCUCCCCCGCAUGCGACUGCUCGAAGACGCCAGCAAGUCGGUCCUGCUCCCGGAGCGCAAGCACGUGGAUACGUCGUGUGUGAUCCAGUUCCACGUAUACGCGCCUGUGGACACAACGGGGCGGCGCUCCAUGGCGACGCUGACCUUCGUCGAUGUCGCUGCGAUCCGCGAGCCGUUGUGCAAGGAGGUGUCGCAUCUCAUCGACACUGUCGAGCGGGUGGCCGGUGUGUCCACCAGCGGAGGUGACCCUAACUUCAAGGAGACAAGGCUGACGACCUUGCUAGAGCCUGUGCUAGUGGGGUACAUCACCCUCGUCUCCAUUACCACCGUCAGCGGCCGCGCCGACCUCUACGAGUCCACAUGUACGGCACUGCGCUUCGCUAGCCACCUCAGUCGCAUUCACCAAGUUCUCAUGCUCAUCCACAUGAACGCACCGCGAUGGAUCUUCGACACGGCGGUGAAUCUGGAGCAGCUGCGGAUGCGCCGUGAUCAGCUCAUGGCGGAGCACUACGCCCGUGGCGUGUACGACUGCUAUCAGCGCACCUCCCGCUGGCUGCAGGCCAACGUCAGCGAUGUUGGCGGCAGUGUCGAUGACCUGCUGCAGGAGACGGCGCGUCUUCGCAAGGACAUUGCGCGGGCUGUUGAGGACAUAGCUAAGGAGCUGCAGGCGGCCAUUGAGAGGGAGGAUGCGAACUGCCGGGCCGAGGUGGAGGCGGCGCGGACGGCGUACGAGGCCACGUCGCAGCUGUUCGAGGAGGUACGGCGGUUGGAUGAGAUCAUCACCGCCCAGCAGCAGAAAAUAUCUCAGACGGACAUGCAGAGCAGCCAGCGCAUUAGUGAGAUGCGGCUAGAGAUAUCCGCCCUAGAGGCCAAGGCUAACAACCGCCAGCAGCAGCUUCAGCAGCUCGAGAAGGAGAUGAGGCUCUAUUUGCUCAAGAGCGGCGAGGUGGCCGCGACGUUGAGCAAGGCCGCGGAGGACACGCAGUAUGCGCAGAGCAGCUACGCCAUGUCGCACGAGCUGCUGCAGAUUGGACGCAAGCGCAAGCGUCUUGAGGCUGAUUUGGAGCUGGCGUCGCACGUGGCACAACGCACGACAGACACAAUGCGGGUAGAUCGGGAGCGACGCUCGCGCAUUUCGCGACUGAGCGCGAUGCAGCAGCGCGUCCAUUCCCUGCGCGAUACCGUGUGCUGCUCCACAAGUAACCCGACGACGGCACCGUCGCAGCACCCACAACAGCCGUCGCAACGCGCGUUCUCCGCGGGGAGUCGCUCCGGUCAGACUCAAUAGGCGAGCGUGUGUGUUUGGGGACAUCAGCCAAUGGCUGUGGGGCGUAGUACGUGUUAGCGAUGUAGAGAGCGAUGACGUGCGUAACCGUGUGUGUGCGUGCGCAUGCCUCCCUUCCCCUCCUUUCGCACUUGUACAACUCUUUCUUAUUUUGAAAUUUAGAUUCUUGUGCGUGCAACGCUUGCGCGCUUGCUUGUCUGUCCUGUUGCGGGUGUCGAUGCUUCGCAUCCGUUGUCGUCGGCCGGCACAGAUACGCGCACCCACGCAUGCAAUGGCAGCAUUGUGUGCGCGUGCGCAUGAGUGUGUCUCUGUGUGUGCAUGUGGUCUCCGUGCCGUGUUCUCUGUUUUUGUGUUCUCUUCCUUCUCCCUCCUCCGUCUCCGUCUCUUGUACGAGCUACUCAAUACUCAAGUUUUGUUUUUCGUCUUUUACGUCUGUUGCGGAUGUGAUGCCGUUCGCCUCCCUCCUCGUCGCCCUUCUCGACGUCUACUCUGCCCUUACAGGCCAUGAAAGCCAGCAAGCAAAGGACACACCGCUGACAGUCAGGGAUACGAUGUCAAGCUGCAGUUCAUGGACAUUGAACUCGUGGGGGUGAAGGAGUAUGCCUGUGUGCGUGCAAUGCCACCCAUCGUGAGCUCUCUCUCGCCGUAGCCUCCCUCUCUUCUCCCCCGAUGUUGUUGCUCGGUGGAUGCCUCGUGUAUUGUAAUCACGCAUGUCUGUGCGUGCUUGUGCCUCGCAGAAUGUGCUGUCGUCUCCAGAUCUGCUGCUGAAGUAGGGCUGCAGAGCGAGAGAAGAGUAGUAUGUGGGGGAGGGGGAGGGAGGGAGGGGGGCGUUGCCGUUGCUGCGCCUUGAUGCGUGCGAAAACGGAAAAGCAUCAUUCUUCGCUGCUUCUCUUGUCUUUUCCUUUCUCCAUUCUCUCUUGCCAUCACGUCACCUUCGCUGCCUCUCUGUCUCCGUCUCUGUCUCGGUGUGUGUGUGUGUGUGUACGUACGGUACCUCGACGCUGAACAUCGACACCACUACAG